rnacentral:rRNA from 1 species
UGGGGAAGUAUUGCACAAUGGGCGCAAGCCUGAUGCAGCCAUGCCGCGUGUAUGAAGAAGGCCUUCGGGUUGUAAAGUACUUUCAGCGGGGAGGAAGGCGAUAAGGUUAAUAACCUUGUCGAUUGACGUUACCCGCAGAAGAAGCACCGGCUAACUCCGUGCCAGCAGCCGCGGUAAUACGGAGGGUGCAAGCGUUAAUCGGAAUUACUGGGCGUAAAGCGCACGCAGGCGGUCUGUCAAGUCGGAUGUGAAAUCCCCCGGGCUCAACCUGGGAACUGCAUUCGAAACUGGCAGGCUGGAGUCUUGUAGA